GUGAAUCAUCAAAUUUUUGAACGCAAAUUGCACUCUCCUCGGAGAGUAUGAGUGUUUGAGGGUCAGGCUAUAAAAAAUCGACAUCGUUGCUGUUUCGCGGUGGCGUUCGUUGGAAAUUGGGUUAUGUUAGAUCUUUUGGUUUUAAGGGAUUUAUAAUUUUCUUUUUGGUUCUAUGAGCGUUUUUAAGAUUUAUUUCUUUACACGUUUAAGGUAUCGAUUUUUAUUAGACGUGUAUAUCAUAUCGGAUCGUGUCCAUAAUUUUU
rnacentral:misc_RNA from 1 species